rnacentral:misc_RNA from 1 species
UAACCUCACCACAUCAAUCUAUUGUUGAUGUUGUGGACUUGGAUGCUGCCGUGUUAUGACGGCUCAUCUGAAAUCUAUGAGUGCAUCCUGAUUUGUGGUGUGUUCGGUGUGAUAAAUCUUCACCGAGUCGACCUCUGGUCACACCCACUUGACAUGGCUCUGUGCUUCCAACAGUCUCCCCUGUGAGACAACUCCUGACA